CUUUUAUCCCACAAUGUACACCCGAAGUCGUGAGGUAACCGUAAGGGGCAGCCGCCUAAGGUGGGAUAGAUGAUUGGGGUGAAGUCGUAACAAGGUAGCCGUAUCGGAAGGUGCGGCUGGAUCACCUCCUUUCUAAGGAUAAGGAACUGCGCAUUGGUCUUGUUUAGUCUUGAGAGGUCUUGUGGGGCCUUAGCUCAGCUGGGAGAGCGCCUGCUUUGCCGCAGGAGGUCAGCGGUUCGAUCCCGCUAGGCUCCAUUGGUGAGAGAUCACCAAGUAAUGCACAUUGAAAAUUGAAUAUCUAUAUCAAAUAGUAACAAGAAAAUAAACCGAAAACGCUGUAGUAUUAAUAAGAGUUUAUGACUGAAAGGUCAGAAAAUAAGGUUAAGUUAAUAAGGGCGCACGGUGCAUGCCUUGGCACUAGGAGCCGACGAAGGACGUGACAGACGACGAUAUGCCUUGAGUAGCUGUGAGUGAGCGAUGAUCCAGGCAUUUCCGACGGGGGAAAACCCCCAGGCCCGGGAACGUUAUUCCACAGGGCCCGGGAACGUAAUUCACCAGGCCCGGGAAACGUAUUCCAAAGGCCCGGGGACGUUACUUAGCAGGUCCGGAGAACGUAUUCACAGGCCGGGAACGUAUCCACAGGUUUCGUGUGGUAUUUUCAGUCUUUGUUUCG
rnacentral:misc_RNA from 1 species